rnacentral:rRNA from 1 species
UACAGAGGGUGCGAGCGUUGUUCGGAAUUACUGGGCGUAAAGCGCGCGCAGGCGGCCCUUUAAGUCUACCCGUGAAAUCCCGGAGCUCAACUUCGGAACUGCCUUUGAUACAGCACGUCUUGAGUCCGAUAGAGGUGGGUGGAAUUCCUAGUGUAGAGGUGAAAUUCGUAGAUAUUAGGAAGAACACCGGUGGCGAAGGCGGCCCACUGGAUCGGUACUGACGCUGAGGUGCGAAAGCGUGGGGAGCAAACAGG